AAGCAGGGGAUCGCAAGACCUUGCGCUUUUGGAGCGGCCGAUGCCUGAUUAGCUAGUUGGUGGGGUAAUGGCCUACCAAGGCGACGAUCAGUAGUUGGUCUGAGAGGACGACCAGCCACACUGGGACUGAGACACGGCCCAGACUCCUACGGGAGGCAGCAGUGGGGAAUUUUGGACAAUGGGCGAAAGCCUGAUCCAGCAAUGCCGCGUGAGUGAAGAAGGCCUUCGGGUUGUAAAGCUCUUUCAGUCGAGAAGAAAAGGUUGUGACUAAUAAUCACAACUCAUGACGGUAUCGACAGAAGAAGCACCGGCUAACUACGUGCCAGCAGCCGCGGUAAUACGUAGGGUGCGAGCGUUAAUCGGAAUUACUGGGCGUAAAGGGUGCGCAGGCGGCUUUGUAAGUCAGAUGUGAAAUCCCCGGGCUUAACCUGGGAACUGCGUUUGAAACUACAAGGCUAGAGU
rnacentral:rRNA from 1 species